rnacentral:rRNA from 1 species
GGGUGCUACCGGGUGACCGGAUGCCGAUCUCGAAAACCUGUCCCAGUUCGGACUGGAGUCUGCAACCCGACUCCACGAAGUUGGAUUCGCUAGUAAUCGCGCAUCAGCCAUGGCGCGGUGAAUACGUUCCCGGGCCUUGUACACACCGCCCGUCAAGCCAUGGGAGCCGGGGGCGCCUGAAGUCCGGGACCGCGAGGACCGGCCUAAGGCGAAACUGGUGACUGGGGCUAAGUCGUAACAAGGUAAC